rnacentral:rRNA from 1 species
AGGAUAAACGCUGGCGGCGUGCCUAACACAUGCAAGUCGAACGCGCUUUCGGGCUUCGGUGCGAGAGCGAGUGGCGGACGGGUGAGUAACACAUGGGUACCUGCCUUUCAGUGAGGGAUACCGGCGAGAAAUCGCCGACAAUACCGCAUGGGCUUGUGGGAACACAAGCAAAGUGGCGCAAGCCACGCUGGAAGAUGGGCCUGUGGCCGAUUAGCUAGUUGGGGGGUAACGGCUCCCAAGGCGACGAUCGGUAGCUGGUCUGAGAGGACGAUCAGCCACACUGGGAUUGAGAACGGCCCAGACUCCUACGGGGGGCAGCAGUGAGGAAUUUUCCGCAAUGGACGAAAGUCUGACGGAGCAACGCCGCGUGCAGGAGGAAGGUUUCGGAUCGUAAACUGCUUUUCUCGGGGACGAGCAAGGACGGUACCCGAGGAAGAAGCCCGGCUAACUACGUGCCAGCAGCCGC